rnacentral:rRNA from 1 species
CCUACGGGUGGCAGCAGUGGGGAAUAUUGCACAAUGGGGGAAACCCUGAUGCAGCGACGCCGCGUGAGUGAAGAAGUAUUUCGGUACGUAAAGCUCUAUCAGCAGGGAAGAAAAUGACGGUACCUGACUAAGAAGCACCGGCUAACUACGUGCCAGCAGCCUCGGUAAUACGUAGGGGGCAAGCGUUAUCCGGAGUUACUGGGUGUAAAGGGAGCGUAGACGGCAGCGGAAGUCUUGAGGUAAAGCCCAUGGCUUAACCAUGGUACUGCUUUGGAAACUGUGCAGCUAGAGUGCAGGAGAGGUAAGAGGAAGUGCUAGGGGAGCGGUGAAAUGCGGAGAUAUUAGGAGGAACACCAGGGGCGAAGGCGGCUUACUGGACUGUAACUGACGUUGAGGCUCGAAAGCGUGGGGAGCAAACAGGAUUAGAUACCCCAGUAGUC